AAUGAUUUAUGGAAAUAAAAUAAAAAAGGGUGAAUGAGAGAGGAGGAAGAGUUGACUGAAGAAGUUCAUUUCUUGGAAGGAAGGAAGAAGCAAUGUGGCUCUUUGAAUUUGGAAGAGGUGAACUGAAUACAUUGCUUUUACGGUGGAAAGUGUGUGAAUGGUGUGAAUAAGAAGCGAAGCAAUCGGAACCCCAAAAGCGUGGCGUUUUGAACGGUCAUGAGAAGAGGCCAACCCAACACGACACGAACAUGGCCGAAACAACCUCUUCCGACAACAAUCAUAUUCCAAUCGAAAUCGUGAGCGAUCAUGAAAUGGCUCUCAUUGAAGCUGCAUUUGCUUUAGCUUCUCGUUCUUUCUCUGCCAUUCGUUCAUCUCCAUCCACACUCACACCACCUCCUUCUCCCCACUCUCACGCUUCUGCGUUCUCCGUCAACUCAAUCACCCUUCUAUCCAAAAGAAGGUUGUCCAAUGACAUUGAUAUUGAAGACUCACACUCACUCACCCACAAGAAAAAAACCACUCUUCCCGAUUCCCUUCUUCACCGUUUCAGAAGGAAAAGGGGCUUGUCCGUCACUGAUCUUACCUCUACGGAAUGGUGCCCAAAACAAAUGGAAUUUUCUCUUCUUCUUGGAGGGCGAAAGGUCAAUCAAGUAAUGAGAGCUGGCAUUGCUCGCCAUGCAAAGCUUGAAGAAGAGGUUAUAAAACGGGUGGAAGUGAAGGUCAAAUCACAAGAAGAUUAUUGGGCCCUGAAGUUUCUUAAUUUUAUAAGUGGUGUAAAUCAAUUAUUAUUUGAAGGAUUAACUCGUGAACUUCCAGUAAUAGGCUUUGCAGAAGAUACAUGGAUGGUGGGAGUAAUUGAUGAGAUUCGGAUGCCAUUAAUAGAAAACCAUCAUAAUCCAAUACUAAUUGACACAAAGACUCGUGCUCGAGAUACACUUCCAGCCGAACCACAACGAAGAAAUGGAAGGCUUCAAUUGAUGUGCUACAAGUAUUUGUGGGACAAUUUAGUUACUGAUAAUUUCCCUUCUAAAAAGUUUUUCACUUAUUUUGGCCUAAACCCUCAGCAUAAUCUAUGUGAAGAUCUGAAAAUGAUAGGUGCUGACUCUGGAUUUUCCGCUUCGACCUUGGAUGAUGUGGUGAGAUACUACAGAAAUACGUGCAGUAUGCUGGCCCCUGCUCACGAUCAGCUUUUAUUGAGGUAUGCAUCUGAACCAAAGGCUCUUGUGCUUAAUUAGCAUAUUUUUAUUGAUUGCCAGAGUUGCUCUGGACAAUAACAGGUCCUCAUGAUUGCUUUCAUCAAAUAUGGUUUUUAAACGAUUAUUUGUAGUAUUCAUUACUCAUCAAUUUAAGUUUUUGAAGAAGUCUACCACUGCCUGUCCUUUCCCUGCUCCAGCUUAGGUGGGGGAAAGCACUUGAACACGUGUGCACGUGCGCACACACAGAAGUUGCUUAUUAGUAAAACCCUGUGAUGUUGACCAAAUUUUUUGAAGACAACGAGUGAUAAAUCAUGUUGAUAAAUUUAUCAGUCACAAUGAGCAAACUGGAUUGCAUUCCACAUGCUCUUCCUCAAAUUUCCUGUUUUUGCGUGUAAGUUUGAUUUUGUAAGUUCUGGUUUUAUUUGCUUCGUGUCAGAUAUGAGUAUCAGAAAGAUCAUUCGCUGCUUGGUGAAGAUAAAUUUGCAUAUGAUUCUGACUGGCUAAAGAAUCAAAUUCGUUGUUGUCUUGAGUUUUGGCAUGGAGAACGAGAAGCCACUUAUACUCCUGAGGAGGAGCGAUGGAAAUGUCGAUUCUGUCAAUUUGGCACUGUCUGUCCUGCUUACACUGAUAGGAAAGGAAUGGUGGCCAGUACAAGCAAUGAUUCAAAUAUCAAAGAAGGCUAGAUAUGUGAAUGCUGACUCAAAUGUUAUCGUUAGCUGCCUCAAUAGCUAUGAAAACCUUCCUUCGUAAAGACAUGAUACUUUAAUACUGAGCAUUGUUUUAUUCAUUUAUCAAGAAGCAUUGUUGUAUCAAAAAUCAUUGUUGCUGUUGUCUCAUCAAAUUUUUUCUUGUAAGCAUCUAUUUCAUUCCCUUAAUGUAUAAAAUCGAAAGUUGAUUCGUAAUUGGAACACUGUUGUAAACAUUGUAUACAUAAUGUCAAAGGAAAAG